rnacentral:lncRNA from 1 species
UUUAAUUUUAUUUUUCAGCACACAGAUAUAUAAUGUGUAUCUUAAAAUUUCAAAACUGUGGUCAUCCAGUACCCGAUACAGCUUUUUCAGAGUCAGACACUACGUGCUGCUAUUUUGAAUUGACUGGUUGUAGAUCAUCCCUGAACAAAAGCAAAACAAAAUGAUAUUUUCAGUCACCUGACAGAAGUCUGAAGCUUAAAAAUUCGAUGGAAUAACAACCACAUAAGCCAAUAUGCUUGAACAUCACUUGCAUCUUGAGUAGCUAACUUAUGCAAAAUCAACUCAGAUUCUUUCCACCGUAUAAGGAUCACUGAUGGAUUCCAUUAUUCUUGACCAAAAUACCAUGUCAGGUUUUGACUCGAGUAACUCCUUAGUAACUGAAUCAUUAUUUGAUGAUAAGCAGCUGUUGACCAGCCUUAGAACUUCAGGUAUUAAUUCACUAGAUAGAAGAUC